GAUGAACGCUGGCGGCGUGCCUAAUACAUGCAAGUCGAGCGAACAGACGAGGAGCUUGCUCCUCUGACGUUAGCGGCGGACGGGUGAGUAACACGUGGAUAACCUACCUAUAAGACUGAGAUAACUUCGGGAAACCGGAGCUAAUACCGGAUAAUAUAUUGAACCGCAUGGUUCAUUAGUGAAAGACGGUUUUGCUGUCACUUAUAGAUGGAUCCGCGCCGCAUUAGCUAGUUGGUAAGAUAACGGCUUACCAAGGCAACGAUGCGUAGCCGACCUGAGAGGGUGAUCGGCCACACUGGAACUGAGACACGGUCCAGACUCCUACGGGAGGCAGCAGUAGGGAAUCUUCCACAAUGGGCGAAAGCCUGACGGAGCAACGCCGCGUGAGUGAUGAAGGUCUUCGGAUCGUAAAACUCUGUUAUUAGGGAAGAACAAAUGUGUAAGUAACUAUGCACGUCUUGACGGUACCUAAUCAGAAAGCAACGGCUAACUACGUG
rnacentral:rRNA from 1 species